GAGCUGCCCGCCCGAGGGAAGGAGACUCGGGUGCAGAAGUGGCCCCAGCUGGCCCCCGAGGGGCUGGGGGCACCGCUGGCUGCCCUGAGCUCUCUGCCGCCUCCUAACCUCUCCACACGGCUGCGCCUCCAGCUGGAGCCCUCCAGCUAUGGAAGGUCGUAUCACACAGCACUUCUCUGCUUACCCACCACCAAGAGCUGAUGGGCGGCGGGCAGCCUCCUGUGGAGCCUGUGUGGACAAAAAUGAACAGUGACAGAACAAGCAAGCCUCAGCUGAAUUACCCCCAUUCCCCAGCCCCGGGGGGCUUCGGAGCAGUGUUCCACGGGGACGGAAGAGCCCCUCUUGGCAUGUGAUGGGCCCACUCUGCCCUGAGCCCUCGCCUUCCAGCUUCAGGGGUGUAAGGGUCUGGAGAGGCGAGCCGUCUGGAACCUUGACCCCCUGCAUUCUGCAGGGAGUUGACUACAACGACCUUGGCAAGUCCCCCACGCAAAGGUCAACACUUCUCUGUGUUUAGUCUCUUCUCAGAUAAAGUGGGUCUGGAGGGCCCUCAGCCACCCCUCACCUGCCCAGCUACCCAUGGAUGCCCGGCGGUGCCCACUCACAGAGUCUUUGUGUUGUUUGCUUUUCUAGCUAAAGGGAAAUGGCAAAAAGGUAAA